rnacentral:rRNA from 1 species
AUUGAACGCUAGCGGGAUGCUUUACACAUGCAAGUCGAACGAGUGGCGGACGGGUGAGUAAUAUAUCGGAACGUGCCCAGUAGCGGGGGAUAACUACUCGCAAGAGUUGCUAAUACCUCAUACUAUUGGAGCGGCCCUUAUCGGAUUAGGUAGUUGGUGGGGUCAAGUCUCACCAAGGCAACGCGCCGUAGAUGGUUUGGGAGGACGACCAGGCAAACUGGGAAUGCGAAACGGCCCAGACUCCUACGGGAGGCAGCAGGGGGGAAUUUUGGGCAAUGGGGGAAACCCUGAUCCAGCCAUCCCGCGUGUAUGAGAAGGACUUCGGGUUGUAAAGUACUUUUGGCAGAGAAGCGGUAUCUGCAGAAUAAGCACCGGCUAACUACGUGCCAGCCGCCGCGGUAAUUAC